GACGAACGCUGGCGGCGCGCUUAACACAUGCAAGUCGAACGGAAAGGCCUGCUUUCCCUUGUGGAUUGCGGGUACUCGAGUGGCGAACGGGUGAGUAACACGUGAGUGAUCUGCCCCCAACUUGGGUAUAAGCCUGGGAAACUGGGUCUAAUUCCCGAUAGGACUGCAGGGUGGUGCCUGUGGUGGAAAACGAUUUUCUAGUGGUUGGGGAUGAGCUCGCGGCCUAUCAGCUUGUUGGUGGGGUAAUGGCCUACUAAGGCGGCGACGGGUAGCCGGCCUGAGAGGGUGGACGGCCACACUGGGACUGAGAUACGGCCCAGACGCCUACGGGAGGCAGCAGUGGGGAAGAUUGCACAAUGGGCGGAAGCCUGAUGCAGCGACGCCGCGUGGGGGAUGACGGCCUUCGGGUUGUAAACUCCUUUCGACCGCGAGGAAGCCACCUGGUUGGAAGGGUGGUGACGGUAGUGGUAGAAGAAGCACCGGCUAACUACGUG
rnacentral:rRNA from 1 species